rnacentral:rRNA from 1 species
GAUCAUGGCUCAGGAUGAACGCUAGCUACAGGCUUAACACAUGCAAGUCGAGGGGCAUCAGUUUGGUUUGCUUGCAAACCAAAGCUGGCGACCGGCGCACGGGUGAGUAACACGUAUCCAACCUGCCUCAUACUCGGGGAUAGCCUUUCGAAAGAAAGAUUAAUAUCCGAUAGCAUAUAUUUCCCGCAUGGGUUUUAUAUUAAAGAAAUUCGGUAUGAGAUGGGGAUGCGUUCCAUUUAGG